GUGAGGAAUUUUCCGCAAUGGGCGAAAGCCUGACGGAGCAAUGCCGCGUGAAGGAUGAAGGCCUAUGGGUUGUAAACUUCUUUUCUUAGAGAAGAAUAUUGACGGUAUCUGAGGAAUAAGCAUCGGCUAACUCUGUGCCAGCAGCCGCGGUAAGACAGAGGAUGCAAGCGUUAUCCGGCAUGCUUGGGCGUAAAGCGUCUGUAGGUGGCUUCAAAAGUCUCCUGUCAAAGUUCAGGGCUGAACCCGGGGCCGGCAGGAGAAGCUCUGAGGCUAGAGUUUGGUAGGGGCAGAGGGAAUUCCCGGUGGGGCGGUGAAAUGCGUAGAGAUCGGGAGGAACACCAAAGGCGAAAGCACUCUGCUGGGCCACAACUGACACUGAGAGACGAAAGCGAGGGGAGCAAAAGGGAGUAGAUACCCGUGUAGUCC
rnacentral:rRNA from 1 species